UCGGGCAUCUUCGGGAAUAUAAUGCAAAUUGCGAAGGAACUAGGAGGUAAUGAUGACGCAAUAAUCUAUAUACCAAUCAUAGCGAAAGAUUUAAAAUAUUUCAAUCGGCUUAAGUAAAGUUGUUUGUUCCGGAUUAUUGAAGAAAUCCGAUUACGAAAGAAGAAGAAGAGGCUGUUUACGCUGUUUGUACACAUAUACCAAAGAAAAACAAGGUUAUGUAUAUUUUCAAGUAUGGAAGUUGCACAGAAAAAGAAAAAAGCCCCUAAAACAACAAACAAGCAAUUAGAUUUCCUUAUUACAUAUAUGGAAAACCAUACUGCGUUUGCCACAGGCAAAUUAUCAGGAGCAAGAGGAAAGCCAGUUUACGACUUACAAUGGCAGCAAUUAAUUGAAUAGUUAAAUUGCUUCGACGGCCCAUCAAAAGGUACAGAAGGUUGGAGAAAACUCUGGUGCAUCUGUGAUAGGUGUCAUCAGCCAAGGUUCCAAACCUGCAUCGCCUAUAAUCAAAUAAACAUUUUUAUGUACAUUAUUAGUUUCAGAAUAAGCCUGCAGAGCAC